GUCAGUUUUACCCUCCAGGAUACAGCAAGGUGAGGAAUGAACCAUUUCUUGGGCAUGCUUUUUAUUUUAAAGAAGAGAAUGUAGGACAAUCCAGUCAAUCCUACUCCUCUUUCGGAGGUUCCAAAACAGCAGACGGUCAAGAGCUGGGAGGAGUUGGACAAUCCAAAGAAGAGCUGCUGAGGCGGAAACACGGUUCUUUGUCUUGGGAGCUUCUGGAUUCUAGCUGUGGGGGAAGGGAGAGAACUCUGCAUUUCCUUUCCAAAGGAAAACAUGGCCGGAGGUUUCCAGGUAAGCACACAUCAGAGCAGCCUUGUUGUCACUCUGUCUGGGCUUUGAGGGGAAAGGCACCUGAACUCCACACUGCUUCAGCUCCAGCAGCUCACCAGCUGAGAAGAGCAGCUGCUCCCCGUUUCAUCUGUUUCAUAUUCAGCAGGAAGAUUAGUUUAAGGUUCUGACGCCGGGAAAAUGAUGCUUACAGCCUACAGCCUACAGUAAGCACUCUGUUAUCCCGUUCAGCUGGGAGUGAGGUGCCCAGCUUUGUCAAAUGUGCUGGUUCCUGGAGAGCUAGUUGCCACAUAGACCAUCGGCCGGAGAUUGGUAUUCGAAGAUGCAGAACGCAUA
rnacentral:lncRNA from 1 species